AUGGGGCGAAGCGCAGUUAAUCCUAUUUGGAGUAAGAUAUGGAAGUUAUCGUGUCCGGCAAAAGUCAAAAAGUUUAUAUGGCGUGCAUUACAUGGAACGCUUCCAUGUCGGGUUACGCUUGCAAAUAGACAUAUGGAGGUCAUGCCCAUUUUCCCUACUUGCUCUGAGGGUUCUGAAGAUACAAAGCAUAUGCUUUUCCUUUGUAGUAGAGCAAAGGAGAUUUGGACAAGGUUGGGGAUGGAUGAUAUCAUUGAUAAAGCUUGCAAGGUUGACCUUGCUGGAGAGGCGGUGCUGGAAUACCUACUACUUCUGCGAGAUCAAGAUUUGAGGAUAAUGGGUUAUCACAAUGUGCGUGAAAUGAUUGUUGUCUCAGCAUGGUAUCUAUGGUGGGAAAGACGGAAGUUAGCGCACAAGGAGACAACUUAG
rnacentral:rRNA from 1 species